rnacentral:rRNA from 1 species
UACGUAGGGGGCAAGCGUUGUCCGGAUUUAUUGGGCGUAAAGAGCGUGUAGGCGGCUAGGUAGGUCCGUUGUGAAAACUCGAGGCUCAACCUCGAGACGUCGAUGGAAACCAUCUAGCUAGAGUCCGGAAGAGGAGAGUGGAAUACCUGGUGUAGCGGUGAAAUGCGCAGAUAUCAGGAGGAACACCGGUGGCGAAGGCGGAUCUCUGGGCCUUACCUGACGCUGAGGCGCGAAAGCUAGGGGAGCGAACAGG